GAGUCCACGCAGAGUGGGCCUCGGAAGCCCCGUGGCAGAGCAGGCCUGCAGCCAAGGCCACAGGCCCGACCGCCCCGCCCCGCCCGCGGCCCCGCGCAGCCCGCACCUGCUUUCUCAUGUUGUUCAUGACGCCCAUGAAACCCGCGAGCAGCUUGGCUUCUUCCCGAGCUGCAAGCUUCUUCUCGGUCUUCUUCUUGCUCUUCUCCACGCCAGAGGUGGCCAUCCUCCUCUUGCCCUGCGCGGCUUCGCGGCGAGGGUGUGCCCGCCAGACGCGUCGUCCGGGAGCACGGCGUUGGCGGCGGAUCGCCGAGGACCGCCGGACCGCCGAGGGAGGACGGAGCUCCUCGGAGAAUAGCCGACCAGGCGAAGGCAGAUGCCUCGCACAUCCUUGAUACAGCAGGGAGGAGCUUGGUCCUGAAUCAACUUGGUAUGUCAUGCUUUGCUGAGGAGUGGAUGGGGGUGAAGAGGUCCUCUGAAUUUCAGCUCUGGCCGACCCAAGGUCAAUAAGAUGUUCACAGCCUGCAAUCCAGUAGACUCUACUGAGUAGAGGCUUAGAAAACAGCAAAAACAAAAACAAAACACUGGGCAAUCAAGACGCUCACUUGUCAGUUCGCCUAGGAAUGGGACGAGGGGCUGGGCCACUCCUGUCUGGAGUUUGAAUAUAAAGAAGCACAGACAGCGAUCUGCAGAGACUGCAG